rnacentral:rRNA from 1 species
GGGGGGAAGGUACUUGCUCCGGAUGUUAGCGGCGGACGGGUGAGUAACACGUGGGUAACCUGCCUGUAAGACUGGGAUAACUCCGGGAAACCGGAGCUAAUACCGGAUAGUUCCUUGAACCGCAUGGUUCAAGGAUGAAAGACGGUUUCGGCUGUCACUUACAGAUGGACCCGCGGCGCAUUAGCUAGUUGGUGAGGUAACGGCUCACCAAGGCGACGAUGCGUAGCCGACCUGAGAGGGUGAUCGGCCACACUGGGACUGAGACACGGCCCAGACUCCUACGGGAGGCAGCAGUAGGGAAUCUUCCGCAAUGGACGAAAGUCUGACGGAGCAACGCCGCGUGAGUGAUGAAGGUUUUCGGAUCGUAAAGCUCUGUUGUUAGGGAAGAACAAGUGCAAGAGUAACUGCUUGCACCUUGACGGUACCUAACCAGAAAGCCACGGCUAACUACGUGCCAGCAGCCGCGGUAAUACGUAGGUGGCAAGCGUUGUCCGGAAUUAUUGGGCGUAAAGGGCUCGCAGGCGGUUUCUUAAGUCUGAUGUGAAAGCCCCCGGCUCAACCGGGGAGGGUCAUUGGAAACUGGGAAACUUGAGUGCAGAAGAGGAGAGUGGAAUUCCACGUGUAGCGGUGAAAUGCGUAGAGAUGUGGAGGAACACCAGUGGCGAAGGCGACUCUCUGGUCUGUAACUGACGCUGAGGAGCGAAAGCGUGGGGAGCGAACAGGAUUAGAUACCCUGGUAGUCCACGCCGUAAACGAUGAGUGCUAAGUGUUAGGGGGUUUCCGCCCCUUAGUGCUGCAGCUAACGCAUUAAGCACUCCGCCUGGGGAGUACGGUCGCAAGACUGAAACUCAAAGGAAUUGACGGGGGCCCGCACAAGCGGUGGAGCAUGUGGUUUAAUUCGAAGCAACGCGAAGAACCUUACCAGGUCUUGACAUCCUCUGACAACCCUAGAGAUAGGGCUUUCCCUUCGGGGACAGAGUGACAGGUGGUGCAUGGUUGUCGUCAGCUCGUGUCGUGAGAUGUUGGGUUAAGUCCCGCAACGAGCGCAACCCUUGAUCUUAGUUGCCAGCAUUCAGUUGGGCACUCUAAGGUGACUGCCGGUGACAAACCGGAGGAAGGUGGGGAUGACGUCAAAUCAUCAUGCCCCUUAUGACCUGGGCUACACACGUGCUACAAUGGACAGAACAAAGGGCUGCGAGACCGCAAGGUUUAGCCAAUCCCACAAAUCUGUUCUCAGUUCGGAUCGCAGUCUGCAACUCGACUGCGUGAAGCUGGAAUCGCUAGUAAUCGCGGAUCAGCCAUGCCCCCCGAAUGCUCC